AUACGUAGGGGGCGAGCGUUAUCCGGAAUUAUUGGGCGUAAAGAGUGCGUAGGUGGUUAUUUAAGCGUGUGGUGAAAGGCAAUAGCUCAACUAUUGUAAGCCUUGCGAACUGGAUAACUUGAGUGCAGGAGAGGAAAGCGGAAUUCCUAGUGUAGCGGUGAAAUGCGUAGAUAUUAGGAGGAACACCAGUGGCGAAGGCGGUUUUCUGGACGGUAAUGAGCACUGAGGCACGAAAGCGUGGGGAGGCACCAGGAUUAGAUACCCGGGUAGUCCACGCCGUAAACGAUGAGCACUAGGUGUCGGGGUCGCAAGGCUUCGGUGCCGCAGUUAACGCAUUAAGUGCUCCGCCUGGGGAGUACGUUCGCAAGUAUGAAACUCAAAUGAAUUGACGGGG
rnacentral:rRNA from 1 species